GGCGAUCCCGUGUGGGUGGGUCGUCGCUCAACGGAUAAAAGGUACCCCGGGGAUAACAGGCUGAUCUUCCCCAAGAGUCCAUAUCGACGGGAUGGUUUGGCACCUCGAUGUCGGCUCGUCGCAUCCUGGGGCUGGAGUAGGUCCCAAGGGUUGGGCUGUUCGCCCAUUAAAGCGGCACGCGAGCUGGGUUUAGAACGUCGUGAGACAGUUCGGUCCCUAUCUGCCGUGGACGUUUGAGAUUUGAGAGGGGCUGCUCCUAGUACGAGAGGACCGGAGUGGACGAACCUCUGGUGUUCCGGUUGUCACGCCAGUGGCAUUGCCGGGUAGCUAUGUUCGGAAGAGAUAACCGCUGAAAGCAUCUAAGC
rnacentral:rRNA from 1 species